UUCGCAAUGCCCGAAAGGGUGACGAAGCGACGCCGCGUGGGUGAAGAAGGCCUUCGGGUUGUAAAGCCCUGUCAGGAGUUAUGAAAUGUAGGUGCGAUAAUACCGUGCCUAUUUGACAAAGGCUCCAAAGGAAGCCACGGCUAACUCUGUGCCAGCAGCCGCGGUAAUACAGAGGUGGCAAGCGUUGUUCGGAAUUAUUGGGCGUAAAGAGCACGUAGGUGGGUUUGUAAGUCAGAUGUGAAAGCCUUCUGUUCAACGGAAGAAUUGCAUCUGAAACUGCGAGUCUUGAGUGUAGGAGGGGAGAGUGGAACUUCUGGUGGAGCGGUGAAAUGCGUAGAUAUCAGAAGGAACGCCGGCGGCGAAAGCGAUUCUCUGGCCUAUUACUGACACUGAGUGUGCGAAAGCUAGGGGAGCAAACGGGAUUAGAUACCCCGGUAGUCCUAGCCGUAAACGAUGGGCACUAAGUAGAGGGGUUUU
rnacentral:rRNA from 1 species